rnacentral:lncRNA from 1 species
AAGGAAAGGAAGAGAAGGAAAGGAAAGAGAAGAAGAAGGAGAUCAAGAGAAAGACCUUGGACAUCUUCCCCUCCCUCUCCUCUUCUCUUUGGUGUAGCUAAGAGGUAAGCUACCAAACCCUAGCUUAUGGAACUUAGGGUUUUUGGGUUUUAGGCUUUGAAAAUCGGGUCAAAUAGACCCCUAGCACCAUGAAUGGUGGGAUUGAAGCUAGAAUCUAGGGUUUUGAGAUGGCUUUAGCUUGAUGCUAACCCUAGGGCUCCAAAAUAAGAUUUUUGGUAAAGUAUGAGUUUGAUCUCAUUUGAGACCAUGAAAACCUAAUUGCUAGGUGCCUAAAUGCGGGGGCGAAGUCGGAUUUUGCAUUCGUCGAGCGGAAGAAAAGAUAUCAGCAAAACAAGGCCGACCAAGCUUUAUUUAGACCUAAGAGGCCGAGAAGUCGUCGUAACAUCCGUUGGAGGGCAUUUCUAGAGCCUCCAUAUCUUCAAGAGGUGGGGGGUAUCAUCCCGAAGCAUCCGGGUUUUCUUUUAUGUCUAAGUUAAUUUUAUUCAUUAUAUGUUGAUUGCGCAUUAUAGGAUUAAUAGAAGUAUAUUUCCAUUCCUUGCAUGCUUACUUAGUAGUGUAGCGGUAUGGGCUUAACACUUGGACUAGGGAGGCAUGAGGAUUGGGUCUUGAGACAAAGAAUCCUAUAGUGGCAAAUAAGAUGAACUUGGACAUAGCCUAGUAGAGUGGCAUUGAACUAGUGUAGUAAAAACACUAAACAAGAACGAGUGGCAUGUCAACUAACUAGAAAACUUACUACAAUGAUCGAACGAGUGGCAUCGAGUCUAGUGUAGUAAACAUGACAUGGCUCUAGGGAUAGUAGAGAUCCCAGCAUCUAGGAUGUAUUGUAUAUUGUGCAGCAGAGGCACGUUGACCCUUGUAGAUAGGGUAUCCACUUGAGAGGAUUGGAUCAUACUCACUAGUCUAUUUUCGCUGUCGGUGGUCACUCCACCGUGGCACGAGUCUCCGGAGUAUUUCACUAGGGGCAGACGUAGUUGUCCCGCAGACGGUCUUGGUGUGCGAGUGCAGCUUCUCCUCAACUAUGAGAUUGAGAGUGAGUCGAGGGUUUAACCUACGGGUUAACCAAGUAGAUUGGGUAAUAAACAUGGAAUGCAUAGUAGACUUGCAUUAUUACCUUGAGUAGACAUAGUGUAUGUUGUAGUUUACAUUACUAUGCACUUUUAUAUACUCAUGACAUGGUACUAGCAUGAUAGUAGUUGUUCCAUACAUUAUUAUCAUUGAUGGCAUGAUAGAGUAGCUGCAGUUCAUUUCUCCAUAUAUCUAUCUAUUUCUCUAUCUGUGCCAGCUUAGACCUAGUGGGAAAACCGGCGGCGUCGGCGGCCGAACCCACUCGGAACCAUAUUUAUAUAGUUCUCACCCCAUGUGGUUUUGGGGUACAGGUACACACAGGGGCGAGCCGAGCGAGGAUCGCGACAAGAGCAUAGCGCCCUAAGUGAGUUAGUUAGUAGCUUUCCAUUAUGCAUUAGAGUGCCCUCGUGUACUAGAUACCAUAUAUAUUUUGAAUAGAUAUUGGAGAUCCAUGAUGUAUUUUGGAAAACAUGUAUUUACAUUUUGGAAGAUGAAAAUGUAAUGUAAUCAAAUGAUGUAACUAUCGAAUGGUUGUAAUAGUUAGACUAUCUCUCUUUAUACACUUGUAUAUUACUUGUGGUUCUUGCUCUUAGAUGUAUUGCACUUGUGUGCAUCAUAUUUGAUCAUGCAUGUUAUUUAAGCAAAUUCCUGGGUGCUUAAUUGUACAUAAUCUGGUUGCUUAGCCUUGGGCGGACAGGAGAGGUGCUGUCCGUUUGGCGUCUGUCCGCCGCGUCCGAACCGGACCAAAUUGGUAGCGGUAUCGGGGCGGGGGCGUGACAGAGAUGUUGGUAUCAGAGCAAUUAAGAGCAAGUAAAGAGAGAGUCUAGGAUGGACCUAGGAGACCUAGGUUGGCAACCCUAAGGUGAUAAGUAUGUGAGAGAAACGUAAACCUAUAUCGGUUGAGGAAGAAUCCGAUUAGGUCGGAUCGAGUAUAGAUCUCUAGUGUGGCUAGAGAUAGAUCCGAGCGGUGUUAGUUCCGAGCUCGAGGAGUUUGUGUUGGCGGUCGACAACACGACGCUAAAAGUUAGGACUAAUACAAUGGUGUACGUCCGCUUAUGGCGGAGUUGAGUCGCGUAAUAUAGUGUAUCCGACGGAGUUAAGUGGGUUAGAUGACUAACCGGGUUGUUGCGUUGCAGGAACAAUGUCCCUAAGACGCUACGUGCGUAGGUCCAUUCCGGCACCAUCUCCUGAGGUGCCCGAGGAAGCCGGAUCUAGUGAAGUACAGGAACUACGGGCGCAGGUGUCGGCAUUGACCGGCAUUGUACAGCGCCAGGAGAGCCGAUUCGAGCAGCUCCAAGGGCUUAUGAAGCGGCAUUUUGCAGCGGCAACUGCAGCUGCGACUGAGGGCCGUGACCCGCCCCCAUCUCCAGCUCGUGCGCCUACGGCGGCUGAGGGUGAGAGCAUUGCGGCAGUUCCGGUGGCGACACGUCCUCCGCCGGCGAGCGUUCCUCCUGCGGCGGCACCCGAUGCGACGGCAUUCGAGGAGGAGAUGGAGCGCGCGCUUGCGGCUCUCGAGAAGUUCCGAAAGUUCAAUCCACCGACCUUCGAGGGAGAGAAGGUCGAGCCAUGGAUGGUUGAGUCGUGAGUGGACUCAAUGGCGACCUUGUUCGAGGACCUCUACACGUUGGAGAGGGACAAGGUCUACCUCGCCACUCAUUGUUUGGAGCGAACGGCGAAGGUUUGGUGGAAGCGAAUCAAGAGAAACCGAGCUUCCGACCUUCCGCCGUUGACGUGGGAGGAGUUUCGGGGAUUGUUCUAUGUCAACUACUUCCCCGAUAGCGAGAAGAAGAAGCUCCAAGAGCAAUUUCCGAAGUUGAAGCAACAUAGCCGCACGGUAGUAGAAUAUGAGCGGGUGUUCUCUCACAUCAUUGAUUGUGUCCCCGACGUAGUGCGAGAUGACAGGGAUUGAGCUGAUUGGUUCGAGAGAGGGCUCCGGGCUGAUAUCUACCGGGCGGUGUACAUUUUGAAGCUCACUACCUUCGCGGAGGUGCUCGACAGAGCGUUGUGGACGGAGCAAGAAAACGCUCACAUCCGGGAGGAGCGAGAGGCGUCCGAGAAGGACGCUGGUAAGAAGCGGGCUCAGAGUAGCUCGGGAGCUCAAACCAAGUCAAGGAAGCCCCCGAAGUACCCGCGAACGCAAUCCAAGGGCCGUGGACCGCAGCGGUGCACAAUUUGUGGUGGGAACCACGAGCUGAGGACGUGUGAUCAACGGGAGGGGAAGUGCUUCACGUGUGGACAGGCGAGCCACAUAAGCCGCUCCAGUGAGGGCUUCGCCAGCCCCUUCGGUCGCAUCGGCUCCAGCGACUCCGGCGCAUUAUGGAGGAGUUCCACUUGCUGCGUCAUCGGCUGGACGUGCGAUGGUACCACGCCAACCUGAGGCGACGAGAUCGGCUCUGAGCGAGCGGGUGUUCGCCGCCCAAACUCAAGCCAAGGAACCUGCUGAGGUGGAGGAUCGACAUGUGCUCGCAGGUAUGGUUUUAAUUAACGGAGUUCGCUCCAGAGCCAUGUUUGAUACAGGUGCUACACAUUCAUUCAUCAGUAGGUCAUUUGCACGCAUGCAUGACAUAGAACUACAAGAGAGUAAAAGCACAUGGAGAGUAUCGGGCCCCGGACGUGAUUUUCUAGUCCGUAAGGAGUGUUCGUCUUGUCCGGUGCGGUUCGGCGAUUGGAUAAUGCCCAUCCGUAUGUUGGUGCUCAAGAAAUUGAAAGACUUCGACGUCAUUCUAGGAAUGGAUUGGCUCUCGAAGUACUAUGCGACUAUUCACUGCCGAAAUAAAGUGAUAACCUUUCGAGAGCCAGGCCAUGAGGAAUUCACCUACCGGGCCUGUAGAAGCUCGCGCUUCGCUGCUAUGGUGUCGGCGACGAGGGCGAGGAAGUUGAUUAACAGCGGUUGCGUGGCCUAUUUGGCAACCGUUGUGGAAGUCGAAAGGACGACUCCGGCACUUGAGGAGUUAUUCGUGGUUCGGGAAUUUCCAGAUGUAUUUCCCGCGGAGUUACCGGGAAUGCCGCCAGACCAGAAGAUCGAGUUCGUGAUAGAUUUGGUUCCAGGAACCGCGCCUAUCUCGAAGGCUUCGUAUCGAAUGGCACCGGCAGAACUGAAGGAGUUGCGGGCUUAAUUGAUAGAUCUCCUCGAUAAGGGAUUUAUACGGCCGAGUGUAUUGCCGUGGGGAGCCCCGGUUCUAUUCGUGCGAAAGAAGGACGGAACGUUUCGACUCUGCAUAGAUUAUCGCGAGUUGAACAAAGUCACGAUCAAGAACAAGUACCUGUUGCCGAGAAUUGACGAUCUGUUUGAUCAGUUGCAAGGGUCUCGGGUUUAUUCAAAGAUUGACCUGCAGUCCGAUUAUCACCAACUCAAGAUUAAGCCGGAAGAUGUGCAAAAGACUGCGUUUCGCACGCGGUAUGGACACUUGUGACGCACUGGACCUUUGCAAAUUGCGAGGUUCGAGUGUUUGAUCUGUGUGACGAGCCAUCUCAGACUUUCUGAACGGUCGUAGACUAUGUUCCGACCCGUGGUUCGAGUCCCGAGGAUUGAGGUUUGAAGCCUAGCACCAAAACCCGAAAAAUCAGAUUUUUGGUUAGCUCUCGGGUUGCCUUCUGAGGGCUGUGUACCGGUACAGGAGUGAUGGCUGUACCGGUACAGCCAUCGACUUUGGCCGCUUCUCAGCCAACCCGAGGCUCGGGCUGGGCAUUUUCGUAGAGGGUGUACCGGUACGCUGGCCCGUGUACCGGUACGCAGUGCAGUGUUUGAACUGUUCGAAACUGCAGGGGGUUUUUCGCAUUUGUGGACUUUUGUAUGUGUCCCCACGCCCCAUGGAACUCUCCCUGAGCUGGAAACCGUGGAGAAGCAAGGUAGGGAGAACCUCUUCUCCUCCCUUUGGUUUUGAUCACCUUUUUGCUUGGGUUUUGAUGGUUUUUCCCUCUCUUUUGCAUUUUGGAGCUAUUUCCACCAUUGUUGAAGCUUGGAGCUUAGGUUUGGAGCUUGAUUGAGGGAAUAUUCUUGAAGUUUGAGAACUUUGAGCUUGGUUUGAAGCUUCUAAGAGGUAAGAGACAAGAUCCUCUCCUCUAGAUUCGGAUUUUGUUGGUUGUUACUAGAUCAAACCCUAGAUUUUGAGUUUUAGGGCUAAAAAUGGGGAUUUUUGAUUUGUAGCUUCUAGAACCAAAUUGAUUGGUUUAGAACUUUGAAUUAGGUUGGAUUUGAAGGAAUCUAACUCCCUUUUUGAGAUCGAGAGAGAUUCGUUAGCUUUCGGUGAGUUUUCUCCAACCUAGCUAGAGAAGCUUAAUGUUUGAGCUUAGCUUUGUUCGUGAGCUUUGUUUGACACAUGUUUCUAUACCUCUAGGAUACUAGGAGGCUAUUGGACAUCUUCGUUGGAGCAAACGAAGGGUUUCGUUUACCAUCGGUGGGUUUGGCUUCUUGAAUCGGGGCAAAAUGGCCCCUAUGAGUAAAAUACUUGUCUUUUUAUGGAAAUAAAUGCAUUUCUAUGCUAAACGGAAUUUAUAUGAAUUUUAGAACACUUAUAAUGCAUGCCCUGUGUAUCAUAAAAAAAAUUUCACUAUAUAGUAGAGCUAUAUGAGUAGAAUGCAUGCAUAUGGAAAGUGCUUAUCUUUGCAAGUUGAGAACAUGUCACCCAUGAGGAUAAUGACUAGAAAUGUGUACUUGAGAACAUACCUAUCAUGCUUGACAUAGAGAAUAAAAGUGUCAUCAAGAGGCACUUGGGAACUAGUAAACCUUUAAACUGCAACAUAGAGACAUAUUGAUAGGCCAUUACGUAUCUGCUAUAUUCCAUGUUAGAGACAUGACGACAUAGAGAUUGGCCAUCGUGGUACUUGACAUAUUCCAUGUUUUAGACAUGAGGACUUGGUACUUGAGACAGAUCAUUGCUUGCUUGCCAUUUGUGCUCAUUCGCACAUGCUUGUGAGGGUCGCUCCCUACAAGCCGGCACUCCGGAGAUAGCCAUCGCGACACAUGCUCGCCGUGCGGGAUUGGGCGCCGAAGUGGAUCGCCGUGGGGGAGGCUCAUCCCUAGAGUGGGGAUGUUGACUACCACGGGGCCAUUAGGCACGGCGCAGGCCAGACAGCCUUCGGGUGGGUCUUAUAUGAUUGGGACUUAGUGACAGAUCAUGCAAUGUGAACUUUAAAACUAUUAGAGUGGACUUGGACUAGAAUGGUAUACGACGACAUUUUACUAUCUUUGCAUUGAGGACAUUGGAUUGGUUGCAUUCCUACGCUUAUGCAUGUCUUACACAUCCAUGUACAUCCAUGUUAUAGUUGAUUUAUUACUUAUGCAAAUCAUGCUAAGUGGAGACUCUAUGUUAUAGUAGGUUAUAUUUCACUUACCGUUUAAUUAUUACAUUGUUAGUCACUGACCUCUUCUUGUAGCUUUUGGGCCUUGUGGCGCAGUUCACUGAAGUCAGUAAUUGCCCACUGGGAACUAUUUUUAAUAGUUCUCACGCCCCUGUUUUCUGGUUUUCUCUUCAGAGCCUUCGGCACCGGCGGAGGCACGGGAUCGCGGCAAGGGGAUCGCUUAGCUAGCUAGCGAAGAGCGGUUCUUGCUUAGGUGGUUUGCUCUUUCUUUUGUAUUUUGAGAGUGUAACAUAUGAAAACUUGGAGUUGCGAUGUCAACUUUGACCUAGAGGGUCAAAGUGAGGAUUGAGCUAGUUGGACAUCAUCCCCGAGUGAUUUGUGAUGCGUGUGAAUGAAUUCUGGAGAUAAAUAAGUGUUUCGGCGCAAAUUGGGCGCGAAACGAAAUAUAAAGAGAAUUUCGGAUUUCCGACGCUAACUUUGAUUAAAAGAAUUAAAGUAAGGCGUAAGGAUAAAUUGUGGAAUCUCCGAAUCAAUUGUGAAGUUUCGGAAAAGCCAAGGGUGUGUUUUCAAAGGGUUUUGAAGUGUUCAGUGCGAAGUGGUAGUGCAAAAAGGAGAAAUUUCUGCCGUGUAAUGAAAUUGGAGCCGAUUCUAUUGCUAAUUUGGCUCAAAUAAUGUCAAAAUGAAAAGAAAUUGCUUCCAAAUUAAAUUAGUAGCUUGUGAAGGUCCCUUGGUAUAUUUUGGAAGUGUUUGGAAGAAAUUGGAGUGAAAACGGAAAAUGUAGAAUUUUCUGUAAAGAACGAGACUGAGAAAUUAGCAGAAAAAUGCACAGUGUCAGAAAAUUAUAAAAAUUCGCAGAGAUGUCAGGAACAUUUUAAUGAGGCUAGAUUUGAAGUUUCAGAUUUUUCUGACACCUGUACAGAGAGAAAUAGCAUUUGGAAGUUAUCUGAUAAAGAUUACAGUUCGGGACAGUUCGCAGUGACCAAACGGGGUCGAAACUGAAAUGUUAAAAUUUCAGUGGACUUGUUAAGUAAAAACGAACAUUCCUGUCAAAUUUGAGCUCAAUCGGACUUUCGGAAGAGCUUACGAAGGGUAUCUGAUCCAAGGUCGCUAAACGGAUAAGUCGGAGGGCAUUAUGGUAAUUAUCGCAUAGGCUUAGUGGAUUUCCACUAACCUGCCAGGGGAACCUCCAUUCUUAUCCUCUCCUGUACGCAUGAGAGAGAGAAGGAAAGGGAAACAAAGGAAAAAAAAGAGAAGAAGAAGAAGAAGAAGAAGAAAUUGAUGAAAUCGGUGUCGUUCGACGAGCCGAUCGAUCCCCCGCGCGUGUUGGAUUUUUCCGGCGCUUCGACUGCGAAGAGCCGAUUUUGAGACCGUUUCGUCGACCGAUUUUUCCGUGACUUUCGGGUUGUUGUGGUGCCAUGCGGAUUGGGUUUGGGCUGUGAGGUGGCUUCCGAGCAGCGGUAAUCUGCAAGAUAUAUCAACCUGAGGAUUGAAGUCCUAGCGGGGAAUUGACCGCGUAUAAACCUAAUUGAAGGUUAAACAAACGCGUUGGCGAAGUCGGUUCGGCAAUCCGUCGAGCCUACGCGAAGAUAUCGCCAAAAGAAGAUUUUCGGCGUCGAUAGUCACGAGCGCGGGUCGCGAUUCUCGGGAAAGCGCUAGAAGCGCAUUUCUUCCAUUCCGGCACCAAAGAAAGGUGGGUUGUGCUUACCGAAGUGAUUAGGUCACUUCCAUGCCAAAGUAAAUCCUUGUUUCAUUUGACGCAUAUAUAUGAAUAUGAUUGUCGACCUAUGAACAUGAAUGCUAAAUGCUUAUGAGUAGGCAUAUGAAUGCGUGAAAUGUGAAUAUAUAUGCUAAAGCCUACAUACUAUAUGAAUGUCGCUAUAUGAAUGUCGCUAUAUGCUAAAGCCUACAUAGAUGCCAAGAGCAUAUAAGUUGAAUGUGAAAUGUGAAUAUAGAUGCUAUAUGGACGUCGCUAAUUCUAGUUGAUUCGAAACCUCAAUGGUAUGUAAACUAUGAACUUCAUGUAAAAUCCCUAAGAAUUGGGUAUAAAUCGACAGCUCCAAUUGAGUAGAAAUCUGAACGGUAACAAAGUAAAUGAAAAUGUGCAUGUUGUAAUCCUAGGCGUGGAUAACUAGGAUAAUG